ACGGCCCAGGUUCCGGAAACCCCGGGAACUGGGGAUAAUACCGGAUAAAUCACAAAUACUGGAAGGUUUUGUGGUUGAAACUUCCGGGGCCUUUGGAUGGGUCUGCGGCUGAUUAGGUUGUUGCCGGUGUAACGUACCGUCAAGCCUGUAAUCAGUACGGGUUGUGGGAGCAAGAGCCCGGAGAUGGAUUCUGAGACACGAAUCCAGGCCCUACGGGGCGCAGCAGGCGCGAAAACUCUACAAUGCAGGCAACUGCGAUAGGGGAACAUCGAGUGAUACUCAUCUUGGGUGUCUGUCCUCCCGUCUAAAAAACGGGAGUUAGCAAGGGCCGGGCAAGACCGGUGCCAGCCGCCGCGGUAAUACCGGCGGCUCGAGUGGUGGCCGAUAUUAUUGAGUCUAAAGGGUCCGUAGCCGGCUUUGCAAGUCUUUUGGGAAAUCCAGCGGCUUAACCGUUGGUCGUCCGGGAGAUACUACAUUGCUUGGGACUGGGAGAGGUAGGAGGUACUCAGGGGGUAGGAGUGAAAUCCUGUAAUCCUUUGGGGACCACCGGUGGCGAAGGCGUCCUACCAGAACAGGUCCGACGGUGAGGGACGAAAGCUAGGGGCACGAACCGGAUUAGAUACCCGGGUAGUCCUAGCCGUAAACGAUGCUCGCUAGGUGUCACAACAAUCGUGAAUUGUUGUGGUGCCGUAGGGAAGCCGUGAAGCGAGCCACUUGGGAAGUACGACCGCAAGGUUGAAACUUAAAGGAAUUGGCGGGGGAGCAC
rnacentral:rRNA from 1 species